rnacentral:rRNA from 1 species
CACGUAGGGCGCAAGCGUUGUCCGGAAUUAUUGGGCGUAAAGAGCUCGUAGGCGGUCUGUUGCGUCCGCUGUGAAAACUCGGGGCUUAACCCCGAGCCUGCAGUGGAUACGGGCAGACUAGAGGUAGGUAGGGGAGAAUGGAAUUCCCGGUGUAGCGGUGAAAUGCGCAGAUAUCGGGAGGAACACCGGUGGCGAAGGCAGCCCCCUGGGCUAACACUGACGCUCAGGCACGAAAGCGUGGGGAGCAAACAGG